rnacentral:misc_RNA from 1 species
CACCACCAGCGUAACGGGCAAGCCCCAGCGCAUUUCCGAUGCCCCGGCGGCGCUGACGAUCAUCACCCGCGAUGACAUUCGGCGGUCGCCCGCCAACGAUAUCCCUGGCCUGCUCCAGGCUUAUGCCGGCAUCGAUGUGGCGCGCUGGACGGGAGGGCAAUCCGAUAUCGCCAUCCGUGGUGGCGUAAGGUCCUUCAAUCCGCGCCUCCUGGUGCUGGUCAACGGCCGGCAAGCCUAUCUCGACCAUGACGGGAUGACGAAUUGGGCCGGCCUUGGCGUUCAGCUUGAAGAAAUUCGGCAGAUCGAGAUCGUCAGGGGACCCAACAGCGCCUUGUUCGGCUUCAACGCGGUUUCCGGCGUCGUCAACAUCAUCACCGUCAAUCCGUUGCAGACGCAGCAGGCAAGCGUGACGGCAGAAGUCGGCACCGAAGGCCAAUUGCGCGUAUCGGGCGUUGCGGCGCUCAAGCUCAGCGAUUGGCUGGGAUUGCGGCUUUCCGGGGGUUAUGAGAAGUCCGACGAACUCGAUGGACUGAACACAUCCGCGCUCGCGAAUCCACUCGGCCCAACCACUCUUAAGCCGAAGCAUGAGGAAGCCGCCGG